rnacentral:lncRNA from 1 species
GCUAGCAGGGUAGUGCGUUCGGCGUGAGGCCAGCGGCCGCUCCGUUCCCUCCUUCUCCUCCUCCCCUGGCCGGGCCCGCAGGGGAGAGUGACACUCACCAGGCGGCUCCGUCCCGGCGGCAGCCCCCCGCGUCCCCCUGCGUCCCCCUGCGCCUCUGGUUGCAAAGGUGCUAAAGCAUGGCUGACUUGGAUCACAACCUCAGUCUUGCGGAUGCUCUGACAGAGCCGCCUCCUGAGAUUGAGGAAGAAGUGAAAAGGGACUUCAUUGCCACACUGGAGGCAGAGAAAUUUGAUGACGUGGUUGGAGAAACAGUAGAUAAAACAGACUACGUUCCUCUGCUGGACGAUGAUGAUGCAAAAGCUGGGAGCCAGGAACCAAAGAGCAAACCCCAUGCAGAUGGUAUUCAGGUGGAAAAUACUUCAGCUUCUGGGCCAACAGUUGUAGAAAAUGGUGACCAUGGAAUAGAAGAUCACCGCACAGAAGCCUAGACUGUCUCCUAACACUGGGGCUGCCACUGAUACAAGACCAGUGUACUUUUCUACCUGCCAUUAUACUUCUAAAAUCUUCAGCAUUUUACAGAGCUCUUGCUUUACAUCCUUGGACUUUACGUGUAGAAGAAACCAAAGGGUAGCUGUGCUGUUGGCCGAUCAGCCCUGCUCCUCCUCCCUCUCUGCUCUGCAGUGCUUGUUGAAACCUUCCUUUCUUUGUGUAAGCACAAAUGUGCAUGAUGGUUUUGGACUGCACUAUUUCAGCACUCCCACUGUUUUUAAAUCACCACUACAGCUCCAUUUUCAGUUCAACCACUUUAAAAUUUAAUUUAUAUUCUUUUUCAUGGAUGCUUAAUAGCAGAAGGUUUGAUGUCAAAGUUGUGCUUUCAUAGCGGAUGGGUCCACCAUGACUGCAGCUCCUUUCCUUUCUACCCAUACUCACCACAGCCUUGUAGAAUAGUGCUGUUACCUGCCUUUAUCCUUGCUGCUUUGAAACCUUCUCUUAGGAGGUUUUUAUCUUUAAUAAUGUCUUCUUUGAAACAUGGGUUUUCACAUCAUAGCACUUACUAUACAGACUUGAGAAACAGAUUAGGAAAAACUCAUGUUUACCGAGGCACAAGCAGGUUGUCUCUGGUUUGUGUGGGGUUGAUUGUGGGAUUCAAGCGCUUGCUGUCAACUGGGGGUAUAAAGGAAAACGAUCAACCCUAAAUUCCUGCCUCAGGAAGUUGUUUUGCUGCUAUAUUGCUUUCUGAAGCCUUGGAAGUAAGAAAGAAACUUGCCUUUCUUUAACUUCAUAUCUCUAGCUUUGGUUUGGUAAUGACAACUUUGGAUGGAAUUUUACCUAGCAUGAAAAAUAAUCUGUCCCUUCUACAUCUGAAAGAAAGAAAAGAUCUAGGACUAAAUUGUUAAAUCUGUGCUGAAAUAUUUAUGACCAUUUCCAGCAACACCAAA